CUCUUGCUGGGCUCUUUCCCUGGGCCAGGAGCCAUACACAGCUCACGUGGGUCUCUGUGGUCUCCAGAUUGCACUUACUGCAUGUGAACCUCUGACGGGGGAAGAGUGCCUGGGGACACACCCACCGGAGGCAGCAUUGACGUCUGGGUGACACCGGGGGAGACCACAGUAUAUCUACAUGUUGAAACAGACACAGAGCUGGAAGAUGGGAAGCGGAUCAGAAAUGCCCUAGGUUGGUUGCAGUUGUACCUAUCAACCAUUACCCAGCUCUUACUCCAGGACUCCGAACACUUUUUGUGGAACAGACUUUGCUGUGUCCGGUGCCCUUCUCUUGUCCACCUUGGCGUCUUUACACACUCCACUCCUCUACCUACAGGGCUCCCUUUCCGUCUUUGCCUUCAGAUUUCAGCACAAAUACCUCUCUUCUGGGAGCCUUUUCUGACCAUCUGAUCACUGAUCACCUCCAUGCUGGGGAGUUGGUUUUAUUAUUGUUCUCCCAGGACCAGGUGCUUUUCCUUCAAAGCACUUAUUCACGUUUCUAAAUGUAUAUCUAUUUCUGGUGAUCAGAUGAAUACUUACCUUCCCAUAGAUGGUAAGCUCCAGAAGAGCAGGG
rnacentral:lncRNA from 1 species